rnacentral:tRNA from 2 species
GGUUGCGUAGCUUAACUGAAUAGAGCAUCUGACUACGGAUCAGAAGGUUGGGGGUUUGAAUCCCUCCGCGACCA